AUACGAAAGGUGCAAGCGUUGUUCGGAUUUACUGGGCGUAAAGAGAUCGUAGGUGGUUUAUUAAGUCGGAUGUGAAAUCCCGGGGCUCAACCCCGGAACUGCAUUCGAUACUGGUAGACUCGAGUUUGGGAGGGGUAAGCGGAAUUCCGUGUGUAGCAGUGAAAUGCGUAGAUAUACGGAGGAACACCUGAGGCGAAGGCGGCUUACUGGACCAAUACUGACACUGAGGAUCGAAAGCGUGGGUAGCAAACAGGAUUAGAAACCCCAGUAGUCC
rnacentral:rRNA from 1 species